rnacentral:rRNA from 2 species
AAACUUUCAACAACGGAUCUCUAGGCUCUUGCAUCGAUGAAGAACGCAGUGAAAUGCGAUAAGUAAUGUGAAUUGCAGAAUCUCGUGAAUCAUCGAAUCUUUGAACGCACAUUGCGCCCUAUGGAAUUCUGUAGGGCAUGCCUGUCUGAGCGUCAGCA